rnacentral:tRNA from 1 species
AGUAGAGCAGUGGUUAGCUCGUCGGGCUCAUAACCCGAAGGUCGGGAGUUCAAAUCUCCCCU